rnacentral:rRNA from 1 species
UACGUAGGAUGCAAGCGUUGUCCGGAAUUAUUGGGCGUAAAGAGAACGUAGGUGGCUUGUUAAGUUCGGUCUUAAAGACCGGGGCUCAACCCCGGGAAUGGAUUGAAGACUGGCAGGCUAGAGGAUGUCAGAGGAUGGUGGAAUUCCCAGUGUAGCGGUGAAAUGCGUAGAUAUUGGGAGGAACACCUGUGGCGAAAGCGGCCAUCUGGGGCAUUCCUGACACUGAGGUUCGAAAGCUCGGGGAGCAAACAGGAUUAGAACCGUACCG